rnacentral:rRNA from 1 species
CCCAGACUCCUACGGGAGGCAGCAGUGGGGAAUAUUGGGCAAUGGGCGCAAGCCUGACCCAGCAACGCCGCGUGAAGGAAGAAGGCUUUCGGGUUGUAAACUUCUUUUAAGGGGGAAGAGCAGAAGACGGUACCUCAGGAAUAAGCCACGACUAACUACGUGCCAGCAGCCGCGGUAAUACGUAGGUGGCAAGCGUUAUCCGGAUUUAUUGGGUGUAAAGGGCGUGUAGGCGGGAAAGCAAGUCAGAUGUGAAAACUCAGGGCUCAACCCUGAGCCUGCAUUUGAAACUGUUUUUCUUGAGUGCUGGAGAGGCAAUCGGAAUUCCGUGUGUAGCGGUGAAAUGCGUAGAUAUACGGAGGAACACCAGUGGCGAAGGCGGAUUGCUGGACAGUAACUGACGUUGAGGCUCGAAAGCGUGGGGAGCAAACAGGAUUAGAUACCCCCGUAUC